GUAGGUGACCUGCGGAAGGAUCAUUAAUGAAACGAAGGACGCUCU
rnacentral:rRNA from 1 species